rnacentral:rRNA from 1 species
UACGGGGGGGCGAAGCGUUGUUCGGAAUUACUGGGCGUAAAGGGCUCGUAGGCGGCCAACUAAGUCGGACGUGAAAUCCCCAGGCUCAACCUGGGAACUGCGUCCGAUACUGGAUGGCUUGAAUUCGGGAGAGGGAUGCAGAAUUCCAGGUGUAGCGGUGAAAUGCGUAGAUAUCUGGAGGAAUACCGGUGGCGAAGGCGGCAUCCUGGACCGACAUUGACGCUGAGGAGCGAAAGCGUGGGGAGCAAACAGG